GUAGUCCACGCUGUAAACGAUGGGUACUAGGCGUCGGGGGGAGCGACCCCCUCGGUGCCGUCGCUAACGCAUUAAGUACCCCGCCUGGGGAGUACGGCCGCAAGGCUGAAACUCAAAGGAAUUGACGGGGGCCCGCACAAGCGGGGGAGCAUGUGGUUUAAUUCGAUGCAACGCGAAAAACCUUACCUGGGCUUGACAUGCUGGUGAAAGCUGAUGGAAACAUCUGCCCCUCUUCGGAGCGCCAGCACAGGUGCUGCAUGGGUGUCGUCAGCUCGUGUCGUGAGAUGUUGGGUUAAGUCCCGCAACGAGCGCAACCCUCGCUCCCAGUUGCCAGCGAGUCAUGUCGGGGACUCUGGGGGGACUGCCGGUGUCAAACCGGAGGAAGGUGGGGACGACGUCAAGUCAUCAUGGCCCUUACGUCCAGGGCGACACACGUGCUACAAUGGCCGGUACAGAGCGUCGCCAACUCGUGAGAGUGCGCUAAUCGCUAAAAGCCGGUCUAAGUUCGGAUUGUAGUCUGUAACUCGACUACAUGAAGCCGGAAUCGCUAGUAAUCGCGGAUCAGCCAUGCCGCGGUGAAUA
rnacentral:rRNA from 1 species